GGCGGCGGAGAUGCGGCUCUCUCCUGCUUCGUCACGCAGGAGCGCAUCUUCGCCGAGCCUGAAACGGC
rnacentral:sRNA from 1 species